GACGAACGCUGGCGGCGUGCCUAACACAUGCAAGUCGAACGGAGAUUCAGAAGAAGCCUAGCGAUUCUGAGUCUUAGUGGCGGACGGGUGAGUAACGCGUGGGUAAUCUGCCCUUGAGUGGGGGAUAACAGUCGGAAACGACUGCUAAUACCGCAUACACUACCGGAGACACAUGUACUCGGUAGCAAAGGUGGCCUCUUAACAAUGCUACCGCUUAAGGAUGAGCCCGCGUCUGAUUAGCUAGUAGGUGGGGUAAAGGCCUACCUAGGCGACGAUCAGUAGCCGGCCUGAGAGGGUGUACGGCCACACUGGAACUGAGACACGGCCCAGACUCCUACGGGGGCAGCAGUGGGGGAUCUUGCACAAUGGGCGAAAGCCUGAUGCAGCGACGCCGCGUGAGCGAAGAAGGCCUUCGGGUUGUAAAGACUCUGUCUGGAGGGACGAACAAAAGUGACGGUACCUCCGGAGGAAGGCCACGGCUAACUACGUGCCAGCAGCCGAC
rnacentral:rRNA from 1 species